GGGGGGCGCGGACACGCGUGGUGUGCGCGGUCCCCGUGCAGCCCGCCCUGCCGCAGGCUGCCCUCCACCCCCAGCCCCAGCUCCAGCCCCCAGCCCGUCCCCACUGCUCAUAUCCGAGCAGAUAGACCCCGGCCCCACCCUCCCGUGCUGAGCCUCCUUUCUGCCGGGAAGUUCGUCCGGGAGUCAAACAUCGCUGCCCUCCGGUUGCGCCACGGAGGGGGAGCCAGGAUAGGAAGCUGCCGUGAAAUCAGGAAGCUGAGCGCGCCGGGCCCCGGAUCCGAACAGAAAAGGCUUCCACCCGCUCCCCUGAGGGAUCCCACGCUGAGGGACUGAACCCCGCACCCCAGCCGCGCUCACCACCCCCACCCUCUCGCCUGGGCUGCUCUGACCUGGGGAUUCCAGAACUGCCACUCAAAGUGCCCUAUGAGGAGCUGUGGUAACAAGGAAAUGUUCUCAUGACUCAAAAAUCAGUGGAAAAAGGUACAGGAUGAGAAGCCUUGUU